UCUGUGAUGCCCUUAGAUGUUCUGGGCUGCACGCGCGCUACACUGACAAAGGCAGCGAGUAUACCUUGGCCGAGAGGUCUGGGAAAUCUUGUUAAACUUUGUCGUGCCGGGGAUAGAUCAUUGCAAUUAUUGGUCUUGAACGAGGAAUUCCUAGUAAGCGCAAGUCAUCAGCUUGCGUUGAUUACGUCCCUGCCCUUUGUACACACCGCCCGUCGCUACUACCGAUUGAAUGGCUUAGUGAGGCCUCUGGAUUCGUCCUGGUCGCAAGAUCAGGAUGUGAGAAAUUGGACAAACUUGGUCAUUUAGAGGAUUUAA
rnacentral:rRNA from 1 species